rnacentral:rRNA from 1 species
AUUGAACGCUGGCGGCAUGCCUUACACAUGCAAGUCGAACGGUAGCGGGCCUUCGGGUGCCGACGAGUGGCGAACGGGUGAGUAAUGUAUCGGAACGUACCUUUCAGUGGGGGAUAACGUAGCGAAAGUUGCGCUAAUACCGCAUAUUCUGUGAGCAGGAAAGCAGGGGAUCGCAAGACCUUGCGCUGAUUGAGCGGCCGAUAUCAGAUUAGCUAGUUGGUGAGGUAAAGGCCCACCAAGGCGACGAUCUGUAGCGGGUCUGAGAGGAUGAUCCGCCACACUGGAACUGAGACGCGGGCCAGACUCCUACGGGAGGCAGCAGUGGGGAAUUGUGGACAAUGGGGGCAACCCUGAUCCAGCCAUGCCGCGUGAGUGAAGAAGGCCUUCGGGUUGUAAAGCUCUUUCGGCCGGGAAGAAAUCGUAUCAGCUAAUACCUGGUGCGGAUGACGGUACCGGCAUAAGAAGCACCGGCUAACUACGUGCCAGCCGCCGCCGUAAUAC